CCGCGCCGGACCCGCGCGCGCCCCGACGCUGCGGCAACGCCGCCGUGUUAACCCUAAUUAGAAGACUAGGCGGGCCAAACGCGAUCCGCCAACCCCACCUCCUCCGUGGACUCUGCACAGGGGUCUCGCCACGUGAAUCCUGAGACCCCGAAGCGCGUAGACUGGGUUCCGGCGGCAACGGAGCCCCUCCCCCCGAGGGGUGCGGGGCGCGGCCGCGCCACGGCGUGACCGCCAGCGACUCGUUCGCGCCCCCGCACGGUUCCGGGGGGGAGAGAGCGGAGAGGGCUGCGUUUUG
rnacentral:telomerase_RNA from 1 species